CGCAUCUGUGCAUGCAGCAUAUCAAUAAGCGGAGGAAAAGAAACUAACAAGGAUUCCCUUAGUAACGGCGAGUGAAGCGGGAAGAGCUCAAAUUUGAAAUCUUCAAGGUUUUACCUUGACGAAUUGUAGUUUAAAGAAGUGUUUUCUGUUGAAGUUUUGGUAAAAGUUCUUUGGAAUAGGACAUCAUAGAGAGUGAGAAUCCCGUAUUUGACCAUUAUUUUCAGGCUGUGUGAUACACUUUCAAAGAGUCGGAUUGUUUGGGAAUGCAGUCCAAAAUGGGUGGUAAAUUUCAUCUAAAGCUAAAUAUUGGCGAGAGACCGAUAGCGAACAAGUACCGUGAGGGAAAGAUGAAAAGAACUUUGAAAAGAGAGUUAAACAGUACGUGAAAUUGUCAAAAGGGAAGCGUUUGACACCAGUGUUGUUUUCUCGAAAAUCAAUUAAAAAGAGUUAGAUUUUGUUGUGUAUUGACCUUAACAGCUUGCAUUUCAAUUUUCUUGCUUUUUUUAAUGCACUUUUCGUUUAACAAGUCAACAUCAGUUUCUUUUGUUGUAAAAAGGUCAUUGGAAGGUGGCUUUCUUUUCGGAGAAAGUGUUUAUAGCCUUUGACUCCUGCAAUCGGAGAGACUGAGGUCUGCAGCGUAGAUCCUUCGGGGUUAGAUACAUUUGUGCUAAGUUAUAGCUUUUUAUAGACAACUUGUUGACUAUGAUUAGUCUUGUAGCUUACUCGCUUAUGCUAUUUUACCUACGCUUAGGAUGUUGAAGACUCUACAGAGAUA
rnacentral:rRNA from 1 species